rnacentral:tRNA from 1 species
GCGCCCUUAGCUCAACUGGAUAGAGCACCUGCCUUCUAAGCAGGGGGUUACAGGUUCGAUUCCUGUAGGGCGCACCA